CAGUAGCCACGGGAACACAGAGGGUGCGAGCGUUAAUCGGAUUUACUGGGCGUAAAGCGUGCGUAGGCGGCUUUUUAAGUCGGAUGUGAAAUCCCUGAGCUUAACUUAGGAAUUGCAUUCGAUACUGGGAAGCUAGAGUAUGGGAGAGGAUGGUAGAAUUCCAGGUGUAGCGGUGAAAUGCGUAGAGAUCUGGAGGAAUACCGAUGGCGAAGGCAGCCAUCUGGCCUAAUACUGACGCUGAGGUACGAAAGCAUGGGGAGCAAACAGGAUUAGAUACCCCUGUAGUCCCUGUCUCUUAUAA
rnacentral:rRNA from 1 species